rnacentral:rRNA from 1 species
UGAAUACGAGACGCUAAGGCGUCGAAGUAGUGCAUGUCAUACUUCCAAGAAAAGCUUGCACUGUCAUAGAUAAAAAACGCCUGUACCAUAACCGACACAGGUGGGUAGGUAGAGUAUACUAAGGGGCGCGAGAUAACUCUCUCUAAGGAACUCGGCAAAAUAACUCCGUAACUUCGGGAGAAGGAGUGCCUUAUUCGUAAGGUUGCAAUAACAAGAUCCAAGCAACUGUUUAUCAAAAACACAGGUCUCCGCUAAGUCGUAAGACGAUGUAUGGGGGCUGACGCCUGCCCAGUGCCAGAAGGUUAAAGAAGUUGGUUAGCAGUUGCGAAGCUGAUAACUGAAGCCCUGGUGAACGGCGGCCGUAACUAUAACGGUCCUAAGGUAGCGAAAUUCCUUGUCGGGUAAGUUCCGACCCGCACGAAAGGCGUAAUGAUUUGGAUACUGUCUCGGAGAGGGGCUCGGUGAAAUAGACUUGUCUGUGAAGAUGCGGACUACCUGCACCAGGACAGAAAGACCCUAUGAAGCUUUACUGUAACUUGAAAUUGAAAUUGGACUUUAUUCGCGCAGUAUAGGUGGGAGGCGUUGAUUAUAAUCUUGUGGGAUUAUUGGAGCCAUCAGUGAGAUACCACUCUUGUAAUGUUAGAUUUCUAACUUUGAAUCAUUAUCUGGUCAAAGAACAGUUUCAGGCGGGCAGUUUGACUGGGGCGGUCGCCUCCUAAACGGUAACGGAGGCGUACAAAGGUUUCCUCUGAACGGUUAGAAAUCGUAUCUAGAGUGUAAAGGCAUAAGGAAGCUUGACUGUGAGACCUACAAGUCGAGCAGGGACGAAAGUCGGUCUUAGUGAUCUGACGGUACUGAGUGGAAAGGCCGUCACUCAACGGAUAAAAGUUACUCUAGGAUAACAGGCUGAUCUCCCCCAAGAGUUCACAUCGACGGGGAGGUUUGGCACCUCGAUGUCGGCUCAUCGCAUCCUGGGGCGGUAGUACGUCCCAAGGGUUGGGCUGUUCGCCCAUGAAAGCGGUACGCGAGCUGGGUUCAGAACGUCGUGAGACAGUUCGGUCCAUAUCCGGUGUAGGCGUUAGAAUAUUGAGAGGAGCCUUCUUUAGUACGAGAGGACCGAGAAGGACAUACCUCUGGUGUACCAGUUAUCGUGCCAACGGUAAGCGCUGGGUAGCUAUGUAUGGAGUGGAUAACCGCUGAAAGCAUCUAAGUGGGAAGCCCACCUCAAGAUAAG